CGUCGAGGAGAUUUCCCAGACCAUCGAUUCUGAGACUUUUGCUGUUCAGAACUGUGUCGUCUUUGCUGGACCGUUAGCUACAACUUCCAUUACUACCAACGCCAAAUUCGAAGUCAAAAGUCCUAAGCGUGUCCAGAUUAAAUUUGAUGAAGGCAUAAUUGGAACACCCCAGUUGACGGAUUCUAUUGAGCUGCCUGAGAACGUCGAAUUCUUGGGACAAAAAAUUGAUCUAAGCCCUUUCAAAGGCUUGAUUAAUUCAGUCCAAGACACAGCUUCUUCAGUAGCCAAGUCUAUUUCCAGUCAACCACCAAUUAAGUUUCCUAUUUCCAACAGCAAUGCACAAUCUUGGCUGCUGACAACAUACCUGGAUGAUGAGCUUAGGAUUUCCAGAGGAGAUGGAGGCAGUGUAUUUGUGUUGAUCAAGGAAGGCAGUCCCCUCUUGAAGCCUUAAAAAGACAUUUUCUUGAAGUUGUGUAUGAUGCUAGCUAGUAUAGAAGAGCAAAAUAUAGAAAGGAAAAAAUAAAAGAUGAUGUAAACUAAAAAUAUGUAUUUACAUUGAAAGAUAAAUCUAUAGAUCUGCUUGACCUCAUGAUUUGUAACUAUUGAGGUUUCCUGGUGUAUCAAAUAUUGGAAAUAUAUGGCUUGAAAGAAUUAGCAUAUGAACUACGCUGGAAU